CAGGGGCUGCAUCACUUUGCAGCACUGCCAGAGGUUGCCAACAUGUGGGUGAUCAGAUCAAACCUGAGCUGGGUAUUCUUUAUUUUAAAUUGGAUGCAGAUGCCCAAAGCAGCGUGGUGGCAGGAAUGCUUCUAUUAGUGUGGAAAGAGGAGCUGUCAAUAAAACAGGACACGCAGGAAAACCCAAAGACUACAUGAGCUAAUCCUUACCAAGGCAGGGUGUGAAAUACAAGCUCGGCAACUGUCUCCUCCAACAUGCCUGAAGCUGUAUCUAUACCAUAAGAAAUGGAGAGAGUCUUUGGGCCUGAAGCUAGCUGACACUGUCUGGCUCAUGUCCACAAGUCUUGGACUACCUCUCUCGGUGGAGUGUGGAUGAAGUGACCCAAAACAGAGCCAAGAGGUGAACUAAUAAUUUCCUGACAAGUCUGUUUGGACAACCCUCAGGAUCAGCACAUCAGUCUACAUCAUACGUGUCCAACCUGCGGCCUGCAAGCUGCACACAGCCUGGGACAGUCAAUAAUGCAAUCCCACAAGAACAUAAACUUUUAACAUUAUUACAUGA
rnacentral:lncRNA from 1 species